AAACGAAAAUACUGUUGGCUCGUUAUGUACAUCCGGUAGUGGACAGGGGAAGUAAUGUCGAAUGAUUUACAGAACUCCAGCGGCUUUAAGGUCUGCGAGCAUCUUGACGACGUGCUCGGGCAUGGGAGGAGGAGUGGGGAGGUGGUCGCCGGUGGCCUGGAAUCCGUUUUCAUCGGCCACCCAAUUGACGGUGAGGACGACGCCGUCGGGAGUCGUGAACGAGUAGGAGCCCUUGGACACGGUCCCGAUAUCCUCCGGUUUGGGUCCAACUUGUUUCUGGUUGCCACUCUCAGACACUUUGGUCCCAUCGGCAGACUCGAAA